UUCCGCAUUGGAGUAUCUCCGAAAUUUGAGUUUCUUGAUCCGAUUGCAUUUGUGGAGAUUAUUAAAUUACAAGUUUGAGAAGAAGGGGUGAAUGAUAUAUCCAUACAUAUCCUUGAUAAGACUGGUGAGCCAACUGUGGGGAAAUAAAGCCAGCAACAUUAGUCUUGCAACUUACCACCAAGAAAGGGCAGGCAAAGUUGAUUUGACCAUGAACAUUGUUGAGCAUAAAAGUGGAGGAAUUUAUGCAGGUGGUGGAAUAUCAAGUGGAUUACAAGAACGGAUUUCUAAAGAUGCAAUGGGGGAUAAGCUUAAGAGAAUUGGAACGCCAAAAAGAAAAUCCGAAGAAAAAGAACAAAAAGAGAAAGAAAAACAAAAAAAGAACAAAAAGAAAAAAAAAAGAAAAAGAGAUCAGUAUUCGGCAAAAAAAAAAAAAAGAGAUAGAAAAGCAAUCCCCACCGAGUUUUGAUAACGUCAGUGGUGGUGGGAAAUGUCGAGCUUUCUCCAUUGCUGGAAUCCCCUUUCGCAUUGGAGUAUCUCCCGAAUUUGAGUUUCUUGAUCCGAUUGCAUUUGUGGAGAUUAUUAAAUUACAAGUUUGAGAAGAAGGGGUGAAUGAUAUAUCCAUACAUAUCCUUGAUAAGACUGGUGAGCCAACUGUGGGGAAAUAUAGCCAGCAACAUUAGUCUUGCAACUUACCACCAAGAAAGGGCAGGCAAAAUUGAUUUGACCAUGAACAUUAUUGAGCGUAAAAGUGGACGAAUUUAUGGAGGUGGUGGAAUAUCAAGUAGAUUACAAGAACGGAUUUCUAAAGAUGCAAUGGGGGAUAAGCUUAAGAGAAUUGGAACGCCAAAAAGAAAAUCCGAAGAAAAAGAACAAAAAGAGAAAGAAAAACAAAAAAAGAACAAAAAGAAAAAAAAAAGAAAAAGAGAUCAGUAUUCGGCAAAAAAAAAAAAAAGAGAUAGAAAAGCAAUCCCCACCGAGUUUUGAUAACGUCAGUGGUGGUGGGAAAUGUCGAGCUUUCUCCAUUGCUGGAAUCCCCUUUCGCAUUGGAGUAUCUCCCGAAUUUGAGUUUCUUGAUCCGAUUGCAUUUGUGGAGAUUAUUAAAUUACAAGUUUGAGAAGAAGGGGUGAAUGAUAUAUCCAUACAUAUCCUUGAUAAGACUGGUGAGCCAACUGUGGGGAAAUAUAGCCAGCAACAUUAGUCUUGCAACUUACCACCAAGAAAGGGCAGGCAAAAUUGAUUUGACCAUGAACAUUAUUGAGCGUAAAAGUGGACGAAUUUAUGGAGGUGGUGGAAUAUCAAGUAGAUUACAAGAACGGAUUUCUAAAGAUGCAAUGGGGGAUAAGCUUAAGAGAAUUGGAACGCCAAAAAGAAAAUCCGAAGAAAAAGAACAAAAAGAGAAAGAAAAACAAAAAAAGAACAAAAAGAAAAAAAAAAGAAAAAGAGAUCAGUAUUCGGCAAAAAAAAAAAAAAGAGAUAGAAAAGCAAUCCCCACCGAGUUUUGAUAACGUCAGUGGUGGUGGGAAAUGUCGAGCUUUCUCCAUUGCUGGAAUCCCCUUUCGCAUUGGAGUAUCUCCCGAAUUUGAGUUUCUUGAUCCGAUUGCAUUUGUGGAGAUUAUUAAAUUACAAGUUUGAGAAGAAGGGGUGAAUGAUAUAUCCAUACAUAUCCUUGAUAAGACUGGUGAGCCAACUGUGGGGAAAUAUAGCCAGCAACAUUAGUCUUGCAACUUACCACCAAGAAAGGGCAGGCAAAAUUGAUUUGACCAUGAACAUUAUUGAGCGUAAAAGUGGACGAAUUUAUGGAGGUGGUGGAAUAUCAAGUAGAUUACAAGAACGGAUUUCUAAAGAUGCAAUGGGGGAUAAGCUUAAGAGAAUUGGAACGCCAAAAAGAAAAUCCGAAGAAAAAGAACAAAAAGAGAAAGAAAAACAAAAAAAGAACAAAAAGAAAAAAAAAAGAAAAAGAGAUCAGUAUUCGGCAAAAAAAAAAAAAAGAGAUAGAAAAGCAAUCCCCACCGAGUUUUGAUAACGUCAGUGGUGGUGGGAAAUGUCGAGCUUUCUCCAUUGCUGGAAUCCCCUUUCGCAUUGGAGUAUCUCCCGAAUUUGAGUUUCUUGAUCCGAUUGCAUUUGUGGAGAUUAUUAAAUUACAAGUUUGAGAAGAAGGGGUGAAUGAUAUAUCCAUACAUAUCCUUGAUAAGACUGGUGAGCCAACUGUGGGGAAAUAUAGCCAGCAACAUUAGUCUUGCAACUUACCACCAAGAAAGGGCAGGCAAAAUUGAUUUGACCAUGAACAUUAUUGAGCGUAAAAGUGGACGAAUUUAUGGAGGUGGUGGAAUAUCAAGUAGAUUACAAGAACGGAUUUCUAAAGAUGCAAUGGGGGAUAAGCUUAAGAGAAUUGGAACGCCAAAAAGAAAAUCCGAAGAAAAAGAACAAAAAGAGAAAGAAAAACAAAAAAAGAACAAAAAGAAAAAAAAAAGAAAAAGAGAUCAGUAUUCGGCAAAAAAAAAAAAAAGAGAUAGAAAAGCAAUCCCCACCGAGUUUUGAUAACGUCAGUGGUGGUGGGAAAUGUCGAGCUUUCUCCAUUGCUGGAAUCCCCUUUCGCAUUGGAGUAUCUCCCGAAUUUGAGUUUCUUGAUCCGAUUGCAUUUGUGGAGAUUAUUAAAUUACAAGUUUGAGAAGAAGGGGUGAAUGAUAUAUCCAUACAUAUCCUUGAUAAGACUGGUGAGCCAACUGUGGGGAAAUAUAGCCAGCAACAUUAGUCUUGCAACUUACCACCAAGAAAGGGCAGGCAAAAUUGAUUUGACCAUGAACAUUAUUGAGCGUAAAAGUGGACGAAUUUAUGGAGGUGGUGGAAUAUCAAGUAGAUUACAAGAACGGAUUUCUAAAGAUGCAAUGGGGGAUAAGCUUAAGAGAAUUGGAACGCCAAAAAGAAAAUCCGAAGAAAAAGAACAAAAAGAGAAAGAAAAACAAAAAAAGAACAAAAAGAAAAAAAAAAGAAAAAGAGAUCAGUAUUCGGCAAAAAAAAAAAAAGAGAUAGAAAAGCAAUCCCCACCGAGUUUUGAUAACGUCAGUGGUGGUGGGAAAUGUCGAGCUUUCUCCAUUGCUGGAAUCCCCUUUCGCAUUGGAGUAUCUCCCGAAUUUGAGUUUCUUGAUCCGAUUGCAUUUGUGGAGAUUAUUAAAUUACAAGUUUGAGAAGAAGGGGUGAAUGAUAUAUCCAUACAUAUCCUUGAUAAGACUGGUGAGCCAACUGUGGGGAAAUAAAGCCAGCAACAUUAGUCUUGCAACUUACCACCAAGAAAGGGCAGGCAAAAUUGAUUUGACCAUGAACAUUAUUGAGCGUAAAAGUGGACGAAUUUAUGGAGGUGGUGGAAUAUCAAGUAGAUUACAAGAACGGAUUUCUAAAGAUGCAAUGGGGGAUAAGCUUAAGAGAAUUUGAACGCCAAAAAGAAAAUCCGAAGAAAAAGAACAAAAAGAGAAAGAAAAACAAAAAAAGAACAAAAAGAAAAAAAAAAGAAAAAGAGAUCAGUAUUCGGCAAAAAAAAAAAAAAGAGAUAGAAAAGCAAUCCCCACCGAGUUUUGAUAACGUCAGUGGUGGUGGGAAAUGUCGAGCUUUCUCCAUUGCUGGAAUCCCCUUUCGCAUUGGAGUAUCUCCCGAAUUUGAGUUUCUUGAUCCGAUUGCAUUUGUGGAGAUUAUUAAAUUACAAGUUUGAGAAGAAGGGGUGAAUGAUAUAUCCAUACAUAUCCUUGAUAAGACUGGUGAGCCAACUGUGGGGAAAUAUAGCCAGCAACAUUAGUCUUGCAACUUACCACCAAGAAAGGGCAGGCAAAAUUGAUUUGACCAUGAACAUUAUUGAGCGUAAAAGUGGACGAAUUUAUGGAGGUGGUGGAAUAUCAAGUAGAUUACAAGAACGGAUUUCUAAAGAUGCAAUGGGGGAUAAGCUUAAGAGAAUUCGAACGCCAAAAAGAAAAUCCGAAGAAAAAGAACAAAAAGAGAAAGAAAAACAAAAAAAGAACAAAAAGAAAAAAAAAAGAAAAAGAGAUCAGUAUUCGGCAAAAAAAAAAAAAAGAGAUAGAAAAGCAAUCCCCACCGAGUUUUGAUAACGUCAGUGGUGGUGGGAAAUGUCGAGCUUUCUCCAUUGCUGGAAUCCCCUUUCGCAUUGGAGUAUCUCCCGAAUUUGAGUUUCUUGAUCCGAUUGCAUUUGUGGAGAUUAUUAAAUUACAAGUUUGAGAAGAAGGGGUGAAUGAUAUAUCCAUACAUAUCCUUGAUAAGACUGGUGAGCCAACUGUGGGGAAAUAAAGCCAGCAACAUUAGUCUUGCAACUUACCACCAAGAAAGGGCAGGCAAAAUUGAUUUGACCAUGAACAUUAUUGAGCGUAAAAGUGGACGAAUUUAUGGAGGUGGUGGAAUAUCAAGUAGAUUACAAGAACGGAUUUCUAAAGAUGCAAUGGGGGAUAAGCUUAAGAGAAUUGGAACGCCAAAAAGAAAAUCCGAAGAAAAAGAACAAAAAGAGAAAGAAAAACAAAAAAAGAACAAAAAGAAAAAAAAAAGAAAAAGAGAUCAGUAUUCGGCAAAAAAAAAAAAAGAGAUAGAAAAGCAAUCCCCACCGAGUUUUGAUAACGUCAGUGGUGGUGGGAAAUGUCGAGCUUUCUCCAUUGCUGGAAUCCCCUUUCGCAUUGGAGUAUCUCCCGAAUUUGAGUUUCUUGAUCCGAUUGCAUUUGUGGAGAUUAUUAAAUUACAAGUUUGAGAAGAAGGGGUGAAUGAUAUAUCCAUACAUAUCCUUGAUAAGACUGGUGAGCCAACUGUGGGGAAAUAUAGCCAGCAACAUUAGUCUUGCAACUUACCACCAAGAAAGGGCAGGUAUUUGGUACAUUUGAUCUUUGAUGUCUUAUGGAAUAUUUCAUUCUGUUGUAUGCAUUGGGUAACUAGCUCCAUAGAACUUUUUCUGUUGCUUUCUUUCCUUGUAGUUUAUUUUUUCUAAAAUACGAGACCAACUUCCCAUGCACUGCCCUCAGCUCUCUUUACCACUUUCUUCUUGAAAGAAGUUGUGAGUUGUUGGGAUAGUGAUAAAUAACGAGGCCAUUAUACAACUUGUUUCAUAAGCAACGGUUGCAAAAUGCAAUAAAAGGAAUUGCACAAAUUGGCAUUGGUAGAUUAGUUUACUAUCUCAUGUUUAAAGUUUGCUCGUUGUGAACUCGAUUGAGCUAUUUGUCUUAUGAAGGUCUAUUGUAUGAUUUAGUGGAAAAGUGAUGUGGGUUAUGUCCUAGCUAUGGUAUUACGGACGACGUUAGUAUUAUUCGUGAGCCGGCUGUUGGUAAAUGGUUUUUGAUGCUACUUCAAUGUUUUUGGUAAAUGUGGUUAAAUAUUAACGGCAGUGUCCACCUGGAUCUAUUGGUUUAUUGUAAUUUCGUCAAUGCAGGCAAAAUUGAUUUGACCAUGAACAUUAUUGAGCGUAAAAGUGGACGAAUUUAUGGAGGUGGUGGAAUAUCAAAUUACAAGAACGGAUUUCUAAAGAUGCAAUGGGGGAUAAGCUUAAGAGAAUUCGAACGCCAUAAAGAAAAUCCGAAGAAAAAGAACAAAAAGAGUAAGAAAAACAAAAAAAGAACAAAAAGAAAAAAAAAAGAAAAAGAGAGCAGUAUUCGGCAAAAAAAAAAAAAA